UCAUAUGAUGCGGUAAUUUGCGAUUGACCCGGUGUCUGUGAAACUCUCGCCGGAGUUUCGAUACAGCACUGAAGUAUGAUAUUUAAUUUCUUACAUAUUCUGAUA
rfam:Aspergillus oryzae RIB40 DNA, chromosome 5.